rnacentral:rRNA from 1 species
UGAGUAACCUGCCCUUAACUCUGGGAUAAGCCUGGGAAACUGGGUCUAAUACCGGAUAUGACUCCUCAUCGCAUGGUGGGGGGUGGAAAGCUUUAUUGUGGUUUUGGAUGGACUCGCGGCCUAUCAGCUUGUUGGUGGGGUAAUGGCCUACCAAGGCGUCGACGGGUAGCCGGCUGAGAGGGUGUCCGGCCACACUGGGACUGAGACACGGCCCAGACUCCUACGGGAGGCAG